CAGCAUCCUCUGAUAGACCACGAGCACCCAUCCUGUUGCUCUCUGGUUUGCACUAAGAUGCAAAAACAACUUCCUCGCGCUUUCUGCCUGCUCGACUGUGGCAGCUCAGAUUGAAUUGGGGAAUACACAA
rnacentral:snoRNA from 1 species